rnacentral:rRNA from 1 species
AUUGAACGCUGGCGGCAGGCCUAACACAUGCAAGUCGAACGGUAGCACUGAGAGCUUGCUCUCGGGUGACGAGUGGCGGACGGGUGAGUAAUGUCUGGGAAACUGCCCGAUGGAGGGGGAUAACUACUGGAAACGGUAGCUAAUACCGCAUAACGUCGCAAGACCAAAGUGGGGGACCUUCGGGCCUCACACCAUCGGAUGUGCCCAGAUGGGAUUAGCUAGUAGGUGGGAUAAUGGCUCACCUAGGCGACGAUCCCUAGCUGGUCUGAGAGGAUGACCAGCCAACAUGGAACUGAGACACGGUCCAGACUCCUACGGAAGGCAGCAGUGGGGAAUAAUGCACAAUGGGCGCAAGCCUGAUGCAGCCAUGCCGCGUGUAUGAAGAAGGCCUUCGGGUUGUAAAGUACUUUCAGCGGGGAGGAAGGCGGUGAAGUUAAUAGCUUCACCGAUUGACGUUACCCGCAGAAGAAGCACCGGCUAACUCCGUGCCAGCCGCCGCAGUAA